AUCGCUUCUCGGCCUUUUGGCUAAGAUCAAGUGUAGUAUCUGUUCUUAUCAGUUUAAUUAUACUGGUUAUUUGGGAGAACUCUUGGCACUAUGUAGUGAAAUUAAUUAUAUUCAUACUAGAGGCCCAGUGCACAAAAAUUCGUGCACUCAGGGGGUCCCUCAGCCUGGCCUGUGCCCUCUCACAGUCCGGGACCCCUC